rnacentral:rRNA from 1 species
UACGGGGGGAGCAAGCGUUGUUCGGAUUUACUGGGCGUAAAGGGCGCGUAGGCGGCGCAACAAGUCACUUGUGAAAUCUCCGGGCUUAACUCGGAGCGGCCAAGUGAUACUGUCGUGCUAGAGUGCGGAAGGGGCUACUGGAAUUCUCGGUGUAGCGGUGAAAUGCGUAGAUAUCGGGAGGAACACCAGUGGCGAAGGCGGUUACCUGGGGUUGUUCUGACGCUGAGGAGCGAAAGCUAGGGGAGCAAACGGG